CUCUGCGGUAACAGGCGGUGACUUGUUUGGACAAAACCAAUAACUUCAUCUCGCAUGCUUGACAUUUUCUCUGAAGAAUUUGACACUCUCUCGAAAAGGCAUCCCAAUCACCUUUAUUAAUUAAUUUCCUUAAUUUUUCACCUUUAACAGUGAAAGUCUUCCGAGCCUCACGUGAGCUCCAUGUAAUACGUUGAACUGAAGACGGAAUUUCUUCCCCACUACGCAACCAACCUGUAUGUAAUACUCUUCUUUUCCAAGUGGCGAACGACAUCUUUUUUACUUUUCCCUCCACCAUUUCAUAACAUUCUGGUUCCUCGGUGAACACACCACCCAGACAAGGAGCGAUGUAGAUCACGACCACAAAGGUUGACGGGAUAGGUUUGGAGUUUUCAUCUACCACUGGCUGGAAGAAUAUCUCCCAGUGUACCCCUCGUUUUGGUUGACCAACCUGCUCAGGCCAGAUCAUCUUGUUGAUGGCUUUCUCAACUUUCUUUGUUAUUUCACCAAUAUCCUCCUCAUUGGAAAUCAAUUCUCCUUCGACAAUUCCAGCAUCUCUGAUACCAUAGUAAAUAUGACCUCCGUUAUAGUUGGGAAAAGCGGAAACAUAGCAACUGAAUUUAUUACCUUUACCAGUCAUACGAUCUGCUAGUCUGGUGCGUUUUGAUGGACCUGCUUUUAUAUUCUUGAACUGAACAGUUUUUGUCUCAUGUAAGCCAGAAUUUGUAUCUUUAACAAAUUUUUUACAAUGAGAACCAUACUGGACUGGUUCCUGAACGACUUUUCUGUCGAUAAUAUCGUGCUUGACUUUCUCUAGUGGUUCCCAAGGAAAUACCUGUACAACUUGUGAUUGACUCGGUAAAUAAAGGUUAUAAUUAGUUGUAAUUAAAGAAUUAGAUUUUUCAACUAAAAUGACUAUGCUUUCUUUAUCUUCUUUGAAAUUUAUAUUCGAGACGGUCUGAUUCAAUCCAAUGAUAGAAAUCAUAGAUUGUUCCAAUAUUCGAACCACCAAGGGCAUUUGAGAAGAUUUGCAUUUCUCGCAGUCGCACUCGUUAUGUAACACAACAUUUCCACCAUCGCUGUUUAACAUGGCACAGAUAGCAAUUAUUAUUUCAGUUAAUUUUUGUUCUUUGUACUUUUUAUUAGCCGGAGUGCUUUCAAAUCUACAUAAGGACAUGACGUGUACAGUCUCAGUAGUCUUAUCAACACGACCGUCCAUCGUUGUUUGUAAAGUAUAACGUCGCUGUUUCUGCCGAAUCACAAAAAGUAAAAUCCCUAUAGAAAAGAUAGAGUAGCAGACAAAUAAGAGCCUAUCGAAGAUACUAGCUGGGUUUUUUUUUAGUUUUACGAAAUACGUGGCCGAACCGUCAAAACAAAACACAUUUUCAUUAAAAAGUUUUGACUUCUG